CAAUUGUAAAGCGGGUAUAAAGGAAAUAUUUAGAAUAAAGCCAAUAUAUAAACUUCCUUUCCGUAUAGACGUAUUUACGUCAAAUUCUCCGGAACCGUGGUUCCACUGACAACUUUUUUUUGUUUGAGUAGGCUGUGGAAUUUAUAAGUGUGUGAGAGCUGUAGGUAGCGCUGUUUCGAUGUCUGCGUGACCUGCUUCCCAGUGAAGUUGCCACUUUGUUAUUCAAUAACUUGUUGACGAAAGACUCUCGGGUUACAAGCCGCGCCAGGUGGCUGGACGGUGAACGGACCGUAUCCUCUGUUUGCCGUUCGGCCACCUGACGCGCCUUGUAGCCCGAGAACUUUCAUCAACUUCAGUCACCGUGAAAGCUUCACCUCACGCAAUAACUUGUUUCUUACCGUGCCAUAUGUAAGCAGUUUGGAAUAGUGCUUAUGUUUCAGUUGUAGUGAAGUUAUGUUCGUGCUUAUAGAGUCACCAGCCCACAAACUAGCAGUUGCAGUCUGUGGGUUGUGAGAUCUGUGAUCUGUCGGCAUGCCCAGAUGUAGAACUUGAGGCUAAAAGAACGUACGUUUCACAUUACAUGUUAGAGUACAAUGGUGCAAUAAAGGUUUAUUAUUGAUACUUAUAAAACUGCCCUUCCACUGAGGAUUUAAUCAACUGGAAGGGAGUUUAAUCAAGAUUCAAAAUUAUUCAUAUACCUUUCAAUCUGUCAAGGUGUCUUGUACAUUUGUUUGUAAAUGUUCAAGCAAAAAUAUGCACAUCACAAAGAAACUUAUUGAAAAUGGGCACAAACAACUUUUGCUUGAUUUGUGACAUUUAAAAGGAUCUUAACGUAAAAUGACCAGUCACAAUGAAUAAACUGAUAUAAGGUAGACCAGACACCUGAGGAUUAAAAUUUGUAUUCAGAAAAGGUCUAGUUUGUGUGGUAAUCAAUAAAGCCAUCAGCGUGUUGUCAUAUCAAGUAAAAUGGCUUCUUGUAAAAUUCAGUAUCGAGAAAAGUUAAUUUCUGGUAGUUCUGUUUAAAUUGUUAUGCUCCUUAUUAACAGUGUAUGAAAUUUCAACAACAGAUUAUUAUUAAACGGUAGAAAUUCAUCAGCAUUAUAAAGGGAAUGCUUUUAAGUGUCUUUUUCAUGCAACUUUAAAUUGUCCUUUAUUAUGUGUUCUUUACACAGAGUGCAUGAAAUCAACACAAAAAGGGCUGAUCCUUUCUGCCUAUCCGCACAGUUCAAUUCCAGAACUGCUGGACAGAUUUGGAUGAAAUUUGGUAUAGACAUUAUUCCAUUGCUACUUUAACAUUUUCUACUGUCAGUAAUGCCGUGGUGGACGAAGAGACUUACGAGGUGUAGCUGUGGCACCACUUAACGGUAGGGUCAUGCAGUGAUGUGUGAUGAUAGAUUUUUUUUUAAUUUGAAACAUUUGUGUAAUAAUUCUUUUAUAAUGUAAAAUGAUAACAUGGUGCCUGCAUGUAAAAGAAUAUUUACCAGGAUUUAAUCCUGUGUACAUGAGCAGUAAACUACCACAGAGCCAACCCACUCUGUGAUGUAUCGAUGUUGAUUUGUGGUACUUAAAGAAGGCUUUAAGAUGACGUGGGUUGUAUAGUUGGAAACUCAAGUUAUCCAAGUAAAAUAACUGACGUACUGUUUUAUUACUGAUUCAGAAUUUGCACAAAAGAAGUGUAUUCAGGUACGGAGAAUGCCUUUCUGGUCUUGUUAUUAAUAAUACUUCUGAGACAGAAUGGGUGACUGUUAAAAAUUUUAUGCCACAUUGUGUAAUUUUCUGUAAAAUUGGUGCAUAUUGACAUGAACCUUGUUCAAGACAGACAGACAGACCUAGAAUUCACUUCAAAUGUGACCCACAUAGGUUAUGACAAAGAUAACUUGCCAAGUGUUUAAAACUACUCUACACACACACACAGUUUAUUAGUUUACAAAUACUGAAUAAUGUAGAUGCAAGGUCCAGUUUUGUCUAGUAUAUUAUGUUCAUUUGUGUUGUUUACUCACUCAAAUUUAAAAAAAAUUGUAUACAUUAUUUUGUUUUCUUUAAUUGUAUGAACUAACAAAUACCACAGAGGAGAUUACUGUUGAGGAGGUAAAGUCGCUCAUGCACUGAAACCCCCAAUUUUCAUAAAACCAAAGGGGUCGUUACCAGAUCCUGAAUGAUGUGAAUCUAGUCCACGUAACCACAUCUCGUUGCUUUAUAUCAAUU